ACCCUUCUAGGGCUAUUCUGCGUCAGGCACCAGGCUGAAUCCUUCGGUGCUUCUCUCUGCCCUGCGCACCUGGCCACCUCUCUUUUGGCUUCUGGGAAGCCCAGUGGAGGAAAGCCCCUGAUUUGAUUGGAAAGGGAUGAAACUCAAAGGAAAAGGACGAAAAAUCUGGGGCAAAGCAAAAGAGACUGGGAGAUGGUGUGAAGAAAAAGGAGUGACUCAUUGCUGAGACAGUUGUGUGUUGGCCUGCAUCCCUGCCCCUGCUGCGGAUUUCCUACCUGAUGCUGAGCGAGUCACUCACAGCAGCCUUUUCAGAGGGCUAGACCUCAGGGGAUGUUCGUUUUUGGAGAGUUACAUAAAGCGGAAAAGAUGCUUGUGGCUACCACUGCACACUGGUUUGGCAACUGGCGAGGAAUGGAGAUGACCCAGCACA